GACGGUGUCUUGGUUCGCCAAGACCGAAGUGAUUGAUGCCACGCUUCCAAGAAAAACCUCUAAGCUUCAGGUUACAUCUGGCCGUACCAAAACCGACACAGGUGGGCAGGAUGAAAAUUCUAAGGCGCUUGAGAGAACUCGGGUGAAGGAACUAGGCAAAAUGGUACCGUAACUUCGGGAGAAGGUACGCCCCUGGUACGUGAAGUGACUUGCUCAUGGAGCGGAAGGGGGUUGCAGUGAAACGGUGGCUGCGACUGUUUAAUAAAAACACAGCACUCUGCAAACUCGAAAGAGGACGUAUAGGGUGUGACGCCUGCCCGGUGCCGGAAGGUUAAUUGAUGGGGUCAGCGCAAGCGAAGCUCUUGAUCGAAGCCCCGGUAAACGGCGGCCGUAACUAUAACGGUCCUAAGGUAGCGAAAUUCCUUGUCGGGUAAGUUCCGACCUGCACGAAUGGCGUAACGAUGGCCACACUGUCUCCACCCGAGACUCAGUGAAAUUGAACUUGCUGUGAAGAUGCAGUGUACCCGCGGCUAGACGGAAAGACCCCGUGAACCUUUACUACAGCUUUACACUGGACUUUGAAUUCGCUUGUGUAGGAUAGGUGGGAGGCUUUGAAGCCGGGACGCCAGUUCCGGUGGAGCCAACCUUGAAAUACCACCCUGGUGAAUUUGGAGUUCUAACCCAGGUCCGUGAUCCGGAUCGGGGACCGUGUAUGGUGGGUAGUUUGACUGGGGCGGUCUCCUCCCAAAGCGUAACGGAGGAGCACGAAGGUGCGCUCAGCACGGUCGGAAAUCGUGCACAGAGUGUAAGGGCAAAAGCGCGCUUGACUGCGAGACAAACACGUCGAGCAGGUACGAAAGUAGGUCCUAGUGAUCCGGUGGUUCUGUAUGGAAGGGCCAUCGCUCAACGGAUAAAAGGUACUCCGGGGAUAACAGGCUGAUACCGCCCAAGAGUUCAUAUCGACGGCGGUGUUUGGCACCUCGAUGUCGGCUCAUCACAUCCUGGGGCUGUAGCCGGUCCCAAGGGUAUGGCUGUUCGCCAUUUAAAGUGGUACGCGAGCUGGGUUUAGAACGUCGUGAGACAGUUCGGUCCCUAUCUGCCGUGGGCGUUGGAGAUUUGAGGGAAGUUGCUCCUAGUACGAGAGGACCGGAGUGAACGAACCUCUGGUGUUCCGGUUGUCACGCCAGUGGCACAGCCGGGUAGCUAUGUUCGGACAGGAUAACCGCUGAAAGCAUCUAAGCGGGAAGCCCCUCCCAAGAUGAGAUCUCCCUGGGACUGCGAGUCCCCUGAAGGGCCCUGGAAGACCACCAGGUUGAUAGGUGGGGUGUGGACGGUCAGUAAUGGCUGAAGCUAACCCAUACUAAUGGCCCGUGAGGCUUGACCAU
rnacentral:rRNA from 2 species